GGAAGAGCAUCGCCUCCGGUGGGGCGCGCGGCCUUCAAAGCCGUUGAGACGCGCAGACGUGUCUGGUGGGUUCGACUCCUACCUCUUCCGCCA
rnacentral:tRNA from 1 species